GGCGGGUUACCCAAGCGGCCAAAGGGAUCUGACUGUAAAUCAGCUGGCUCUGCCUACGUAGGUUCGAAUCCUGCACCCGCCA
rnacentral:tRNA from 1 species